rnacentral:rRNA from 1 species
CCUACGGGAGGCAGCAGUGAGGAAUAUUGGUCAAUGGACGAGAGUCUGAACCAGCCAAGUAGCGUGAAGGAUGACUGCCCUAUGGGUUGUAACCUUCUUUUAUAUGGGAAUAAAAUGUUCCACGUGUGGGGUUUUGUAUGUACCAUAUGAAUAAGGAUCGGCUAACUCCGUGCCAGAAGCCGCGGUAAUACGGAGGAUCCGAGCGUUAUCCGGAUUUAUUGGGUUUAAAGGGAGCGUAGGUGGAUUGUUAAGUCAGUUGUGAAAGUUUGCGGCUCAACCGUAAAAUUGCAGUUGAAACUGGCAGGCUUGAGUACAGUAGAGGUAGGCGGAAUUCGUGGUGUAGCGGUGAAAUGCGUAGAUAUCACGAAGAACUCCGAUUGCGAAGGCAGCUCACUGGACUACAACUGACACUGAGGCUCGAAAGUGUGGGUAUCAAACAGGAUUAGAUACCCGGGUAGUC